UCCCAUCUUAUGGAUGAGGAAACUGAGGCCAGAGAUGUUUAUGCUCAUGUGGCUAGUAAAUGGAAGAACAGAACUUUAAUCUCUUUCCAUCUGGCUCCAUAGUCCCGUCUUUUUUUAUAUAUAUAAAGAUUUUAUUAUUUUUUUAAAUUUUAAUGCUUAUUUAGUUUUGAGAGAGAGAGAGAAGAAGAACAAGUGGUGGGGGGUGGGGGGCAAAGAGGGAGACACAGAAUCCAAAGCAGGCUCCAGGCUCUCAGCUGUCAGCAUAGAGCCUGACGCAGGGCUUGAACCCAUGAACUGUGAGAUCAUGACCGCUAAAGUCAGAUGCUUCACUAACUGAGCCACCUAGGUACUCCCAAAAUUUUAUUUUUAAGUAAUCUCUGUAACCACGGUGGGUCUUGAACCCACAAUCCCACAAAAGUCAUAUGCUCCACUGACUGAGCCAGCCAGGCACCUCUUCACAGUCCAUAAUCUUAACUAUCAUGUUUUUGGGAUAUUUUUUAUUAAUUAUGUCUUCUAACUGGUUAUUCUCAGCAUUUAAAAGGCUACGGGAGGGAGGGAGACACGGAAUCCAAAGCAGGCUCCAGUCUCUGAGCUGUCAGCACAAAGCCAGACGCCAGAUUUGAACUCACAGACCGCAACUGCAAGAUCAUGACCUGAGCUGAAGUCAGACACUUAACCAACUGAGCCACCCAGGUGCCCCCUCCCCUUUUUUUUCAGUUCUCAUCAUUUUAAAAUAGAUUCUUAUGGAUUUUCUAUGUAUACAAUUAUAUCAUCUGCAAACAGUGAUAAAUUUGCUUCUCUCUUUCCAAAAGCUAUAACCCCUUUUUCAAAUUUCCAGCCUAUUUUAUUUGAUUUUUCAGAAUAAUAUUAAAUAACACAGUGAUGAAAGUAGACAUUCUUUUUUUUACAUAAACUGUUGACUUCAUGUAUGUAAAUACAUGUGUUUAUAUAUGAAGAAUAUUAACACGAUUAGGAGUGUUUACAGAAAACGGAAUUGAUUUGCCAGGUUCUCUUUGGUGACUAUUAAAAAAUGAUCAAAUUUUU
rnacentral:lncRNA from 1 species